rnacentral:rRNA from 1 species
AACGAACGCUGGCGGCAGGCUCAACACAUGCAAGUCGAACGCAUGCCUUCGGGCAUGAGUGGCAGACGGGUGAGUAACGCGUGGGAACCUACCCCUUGGUACGGGAUAGCUCCGGGAAACUGGAGAUAAUACCGUAUGUGUCCUGAGGGACAAAGAUUCAUCGCCAAGGGAUGGGCCCGCGUCGGAUUAGCUAGUUGGUGGGGUAACGGCCUACCAAGGCGACGAUCCGUAGCUGGUCUAAGAGGAUGAUCAGCCACAUUGGGACUGAGACACGGCCCAAACUCCUACGGGAGGCAGCAGUGGGGAAUAUUGGACAAUGGGCGCAAGCCUGAUCCAGCCAUGCCGCGUGAGUGAUGAAGGCCCUAGGGUUGUAAAGCUCUUUCACCGGUGACGAUAAUGACGGUAACCGGAGAAGAAGCCCCGGCUAACUUCGUG